CAGCGCCGCAAGCCCUAUCAGCCCCUGCACGUUGUGCCCCACGCCCGAUCGCCGCACGUUUCGGCCUCCACGAGCGCCAAACUCUCCACACACCUAGAAACAUGGACUCAAAGGAGUCCAAAUGAGAAAAAACAGCAAGCAAUGGCAUUUUUUGUUUAUUUUCUUUUUCUUUUCCAGGCUAUAAAAAGCCACUUUUAAUCUGUAAAAGGGGGAGGGUGUAAAGAAAUACGAUUUGAAAAAACACUGGGAAUACAAAGUUUUUUCGAAGGUGAAUCGACUUUAUUUUUUACUUUGUCUAUUCUUUUUUUGUUUUAUUUUUUAUUUAUCUUUCAUUUUAAAUAUAAAGAAAGGGGGAAGAGACUUACCUGGUCGCCGGAGUCGUCAGGCCGGUGUCUUCUCCGGUGAAAUCGGGGCGUGGAAGCGUAGGCUGAGCGACGGCGCAAAGCUGGGUUAAGGAAAACCCUAGCAGAGCACCUUCCCCCCUUUCUCCCUCUGUUGUUUUAAGAAAAAG
rnacentral:lncRNA from 1 species